ACGGGAGGCAGCAGUGGGGAAUAUUGGGCAAUGGGCGCAAGCCUGACCCAGCGACGCCGCGUGAAGGAAGAAGGUCUUCGGAUUGUAAACUUCUUUUAUGUGGGACGAAGAAAAUGACGGUACCACAUGAAUAAGCCACGGCUAACUACGUGCCAGCAGCCGCGGUAAUACGUAGGUGGCGAGCGUUAUCCGGAUUUACUGGGUGUAAAGGGCGCGUAGGCGGGGAUGCAAGUCAGAUGUGAAAUCCAUGGGCUUAACUCAUGAACUGCAUUUGAAACUGUAUCUCUUGAGUGUCGGAGAGGUAGAUGGAAUUCCUAGUGUAGCGGUGAAAUGCGUAGAUAUUAGGAGGAACACCAGUGGCGAAGGCGAUCUACUGGACGAUAACUGACGCUGAGGCGCGAAAGCGUGGGGAGCAAACAGGAUUAGAUACCCUGGUA
rnacentral:rRNA from 1 species